rnacentral:misc_RNA from 1 species
UCCCCGUUACCGGGGCAGUCUACCUAGAAAAAUACAACUAAGUAUAAGGGUUGCGCUCGUUAAAGGACUUAACCUAACAUCUCACGACACGAGCUGACGACGGCCAUGCAACAGCUGUCACUUGGCUCAAUAAAGCACUCUCUGCUUUCACAGAAAUUCCAAGGAUGUCAAACCCUGGUAAGGUUCUUCGGUUAUCAUCGAAUUAAAGAACAUAAUCCACUGCUUGUGCGGUCCCCCGUCAAUUCCUUUAUGUUUUAGUCUUGCGACCGUACUCCACAGGCGGGAUACUUAACGCGUUAGCUUUGUUACCAAGGGGGUCGAUACCCCUGACAACUAGUAUCCAUCGUUUACGGCGUGGACUAC